rnacentral:rRNA from 1 species
AUUGAACGCUGGCGGCAGGCUUAACACAUGCAAGUCGAGCGGGGUGAUGGUGCUUGCACUAUCACUUAGCGGCGGACGGGUGAGUAAUGCUUAGGAAUCUGCCUAUUAGUGGGGGACAACAUCUCGAAAGGGAUGCUAAUACCGCAUACGUCCUACGGGAGAAAGCAGGGGAUCACUUGUGACCUUGCGCUAAUAGAUGAGCCUAAGUCGGAUUAGCUAGUUGGGGGGGGAAAGGCCUACCACGGCGACGAUCUGUAGAGGGUCUGAGAGGAUGAUCCGCCAAACUGGGACUGAGACACGGCCCAGACUCCUACGGGAGGCAGCAGUGGGGAAUAUUGGACAAUGGGGGGAACCCUGAUCCAGCCAUGCCGCGUGUGUGAAGAAGGCCUUAUGGUUGUAAAGCACUUUAAGCGAGGAGGAGGCUCUUUUGGUUAAUACCCAAGAUGAGUGGACGUUACUCGCAGAAUAAGCACCGGCUAACUCUGUGCCAGCCGCCGCGGUAA